UACUACCGAAGCUACGGCAUCAGUAAUGAUGGGUAGGGGAGCUUCCCAUACGGGUUGAAGCAUGACCGUAAGGACAUGUGGACAGUCUGGGAGUGAGAAUGUUGGCAUGAGUAGCGAGAUGUGGGUGGGAAUCCCACAGGCCGUAAACCCAAGGUUUCCAGGGGAAGGUUCGUCCGCCCUGGGUUAGUCGGGACCUAAGCUGAGGCCGAAAGGC
rnacentral:rRNA from 1 species